rnacentral:tRNA from 1 species
ACCUUUUUAGUAUUACCAGUACAAACGACUUCCAAUCAUUAAGCCUCAGCAUAAGCCUGAGAAAAGGUA